rnacentral:rRNA from 1 species
UACGUAGGCAGCGAGCGUUGUUCGGAGUUACUGGGCGUAAAGCGUGCGUAGGCGGUGUCUUAAGUUUGUUGUGAAAUCUCCCGGCUUAACCGGGAGGGUGCGGCGAAUACUGAGAUGCUGGAGUGCCGGAGAGGUAAGCGGAAUUCCUGGUGUAGCGGUGAAAUGCGUAGAUAUCAGGAGGAACACCUGCGGUGUAGACGGCUUACUGGACGGUAACUGACGCUGAGGCACGAAAGCGUGGGUAGCAAACGGG